rnacentral:rRNA from 1 species
UUGUUCGCAAUGGGCGCAAGCCUGACGACGCUACGCCGCGUGGAGGAUGAAGAUCUUCGGGUCGUAAACUCCUGUCGAGCGGGACGAAUGCCUUGCCGGUGAAUAUCCGGCGAGGGUGACGGUACCGCUAAAGGAAGCCCCGGCUAACUCUGUGCCAGCAGCCGCGGUAAUACAGAGGGUGCGAACGUUGCUCGGAAUUACUGGGCGUAAAGCGCGUGUAGGCGGAGCGAUAAGUCGGGAGUGAAAUCCCCGGGCUCAACCCGGGAACUGCUUUCGAGACUGUCGUUCUCGAGUACCGGAGAGGGUGGCGGAAUUCCUGGUGUAGAGGUGAAAUUCGUAGAUAUCAGGAGGAACACCGGUGGCGAAGGCGGCCACCUGGACGGUCACUGACGCUGAGACGCGAAAGCGUGGGGAGCAAAC